AGCGAGACCUUCGCAGGCUGCGGGAGGCAGCACUGGGCUCUUGAUGGACUUGGCAGCCAAUGAAAAGGCAGUUCAUGCAGACUUUUUUAAUGAUUUUGAAGAUCUCUUUGAUGAUGAUGAUGUCCAGUGAGACCCAGCCAGCUGUACACACGGCCAUCCAUGGCAAA